rnacentral:rRNA from 1 species
UACGGAGGACGCGAGCGUUAUCCGGAUUUAUUGGGUUUAAAGGGUGCGUAGGCGGGCUUUUAAGUCAGCGGUAAGAAUUCGGGGCUCAACCCCGUCCGGCCGUUGAAACUGGGGGUCUUGAGUGGGCGAGAAGAAGGCGGAAUGCGUGGUGUAGCGGUGAAAUGCAUAGAUAUCACGCAGAACCCCGAUUGCGAAGGCAGCCUUCCGGCGCCCUACUGACGCUGAGGCACGAAAGUGCGGGGAUCGAACAGG